rnacentral:lncRNA from 1 species
GUAUAUUUGUAAUCAUUGUAUAGAUAAAAUUCUGUUAUACCUUUUAUAAGAACUAUUAUAUGCCCAGCAUUUUUUAUGAUUACAUCAUUGUGUUAGCUGUGACCAAAAUACCUGACAUGCUGGGCAUGAUGGCGUGUGCCUGUAAUCGCAGUAGCUCUGGAGGCUGAGACAGGAGGACCUCAGCUUCAAAGCCAGCCUCAGCAAAAGCAAGGUGCUAAGCAACUCAGCAAGACCCUUUCUUUGAAUUGAAAUACAAAAUAGGGCUGGGAUGUGGCUCAGUGUUUGAGUGCCCCUGAGUUUAAUCUCUAGCACCCCCCCCCCCAAAACAAACAAACAAACAAACAAAAACCUGACAGUAACAAUUUAGUGGAAGAAAGAUUUAUUUUGGUUCAUGGUUUUAGAAGUUCAGUCCAUGGUCUGCUGGCUCCAGGGCAGAAAUAUGGUGGAGGAAAUCUGCUCAGCUCGGGACAACGUGGAAGGAGACAGGAAGAGACCAGGAACAAAUAUAGUUCCAAGACCAUGCUCUAGUGACCUGCUUCCUCCAGCCAGGUCUAACCUGCUUAUCAUUUUCACCCCUCCUGGUGAAGUCCAUUCAAAUUAUUAUUAUUAUUGUUUUAUAUAUAUAUAUUGGGCUGGGGAUGUGGCUCAAGCGGUAGCGCACUCGCCUGGCAUGCUUGCGGCCCAGAUUCGAUCCUCAGCACCACAUACAAAGAUGUUGUGUCC